rnacentral:lncRNA from 1 species
GCAUUUGCUAAACUGUAAUUAAUGGAUUCAUGUUGGAUGUAGAAAUGCACAAGCAUUUUCCUAGUGAUUGUAGUGGCUCGGUAAUUGAGCAGUUACAGGGGUGGACACAUAUGAGGAUAAACUGUGAAAUAUAAUGGACAACUAUUAAAAUAAAUAUAAAAGAAAGAAAAAAGAAGAUAAAAAAAUCAACUCUUAAGUCCGAUGGUCGCCCAACAUGGUAUUCUAGCCCAUUUCGUAAGCACUCUAGGCGACACCUUAUUUCAUCUCACAAUAGUCAACACAGAGUCGCUCCCCUAAGGAUAAGGUAAGUGUCAUGUGGUCGUGUGUGCAAAUCAGGGACGACCUAAUCACUCAUGUGGGCCAUCCACCUCAAUACAAUAUGCAAAUAGGCAAUGCCCAAUAAUCUACAAAACCUAUUUUUCUUACCCACACCAAUGAAUCUCUCCCGUGGGGCAUGUCCAUUUGGUUAUUAGUACCACAUCACCAGGCUACAGAAAAUGGGGACAGGAGCUUGACUAUUUAAUAGGGUGGUAUGCCUCGGGUGGAAGGCAUCCAUAUCCUUGGUGAACCGGACACGUUAUACUCUUUCAGUAUAAGUCGAAAACUGAAUCAAAAAGGAAAUAUAGAAACACAAAACUUACUUACCUAAGUUUAUAUACCAAAUGCCAGGGCCAGCCAUGUGAGGUGCCCAACAUGGUCAUGGGAUCGUCGAGCAGCGAUCCACAAGGGAGGAUAAAGGGGAUUGACAACCCAAGCUUUGUGGCUCUUGCAUGACCUCUCAUAAGGCCCAAAACCCACGCCUCGUUUUCUUGCAUGCAUAUUUCAUGUCAGAUGGUGGUGUGGGUUUCGGUACGUCUCAAGUGGCAGGGCGGCUAGAGAAUUUAUUGUCAUGCUAGACAUUAGGAUAUAUGUCACACGUUAUGACAUGAUCUUGUGUGAGGAAAAGGGNN